GACUUGUUCCAGCCACAUUCAUGCUGAGUAGGACCUCAUUCAGCAAACAGCCUCUCAGUAAUCAAUAUGUCUGCGGGGGAGGAAAUACUGUGUGCCAGGUCACACAGUGCCAGACUGCCCACAAAGAACACCAUUUCAUUUGCUGGGUUUUCCAGGGCAGCAUCAGGAUUUAUUUGGUGUUUUGUGGAAGAGACGCUGGCUGGCCUCAGAAUGCUUUACAAGAAAUCGUUACAAUUCAGAAAACCUCAGGAUCAUGUGCUGCUUUGCAAGCUGGCUAUCCAGAAUUGGUUGCUCUGGAAAAUCCUGGAUGUGUCUCAUGACCAUGUCAGAGGAACAAAGGACAAAGCCAUUGACCUGGAGCACAUCACUAAACAGGAGCUGAAUUACUGCUUUCGAUUGGACACAGAAUGA
rnacentral:lncRNA from 1 species